rnacentral:rRNA from 1 species
CCUACGGGAGGCAGCAGUGAGGAAUAUUGGUCAAUGGACGGAAGUCUGAACCAGCCAUGCCGCGUGCAGGAAGAAGGCUCUAUGAGUUGGAAACUGCGUUUGUACAAGGGUAAACCUGAAUACGUGUAUACAGCUGAAAGUACGGUACGAAUAAGGAUCGGCUAACUCCGUGCCAGCAGCCGCGGUAAUACGGAGGAUCCAAGCGUUAUCCGGAUUUAUUGGGGUUAAAGGGUGCGUAGGCGGUUUGCUAAGUUAGGGGUGAAAUGUCCGGGCUUAACUCGGGAACUGCCUUUAAUACUGUUGAUCUAGAGCGUAGGUGCGGUAGGCGUAAUG